AACGAACGCUGGCGGCAGGCUUAACACAUGCAAGUCGAACGCCCCGCCAGGGGAGUGGCGGACGGGUGAGUAACGCGUGGGAACAUACCCUUUUCUACGGAAUAGCCCUGGGAAACUGGAAUUAAUACCGUAUACGCCCUACGGGGGAAAGAUGUAUCGGGGAAGGAUUGGCCCGCGUUGGAUUAGCGAGUUGGUGGGGUAAAGGCCUACCAAGGCGACGAUCCAUAGCUGGUCUGAGAGGAUGAUCAGCCACAUUGGGACUGAGACACGGCCCAAACUCCUACGGGAGGCAGCAGUGGGGAAUAUUGGACGAUGGGCGCAAGCCUGAUCCAGCCAUGCCGCGUGAGUGAUGAAGGCCUUAGGGUUGUAAAGCUCUUUCACCGAUGAAGAUAAUGACGGUAGUCGGAGAAGAAGCCCCGGCUAACUUCGUG
rnacentral:rRNA from 1 species